rnacentral:lncRNA from 1 species
ACGUAUAUUAUUUGAAUAAUAUAUAUGUAUAUAUAGUCUCAGGUUGAACUUGGAUGUCUUAUAAUUAUAUCUCCAGAGCGGUAACUUUCGCAAAAUACUCCAAACACGGGAGAAAAUCAUGAAGAAUGAGACCACAAUCAAGAAACGAUUCAAGAAGCUAAUAACGAAAUUAGGAUGGAGAGUGAGGAAUAUUUCAACGGAAAAAGGUAUAUCUGGAGUCUGAAUAUUUGUCUCGAAGAUCUGGAGGAUUUUUAAUACUUUGUUUAAUUAUAUUUAUUAAGGAUAACUAAUUUUGAGAUUAUGUAAGCUGUACAUUGGUCAGUAUGUGGAAGUUACUGUCGUGAUAUACAUUUACUAAGCAAUAUCGAUUAACUAUGUCUACUGUAUUAAUGUCAUAUUUUAUUAGAAGCGUACCUAUACAUUUGUCAUGGUUAGAUGUUUUCUUUCAAUAUUUUGUAUGUUUAAUGAUGUUUUGAGGAAAAUGUAUACGUUUAGAGACUCAAUUCAAUUAUAAUUACUAGAUAAUAUUUGAAUAAAUACGUAUUUGGUACUUGAUUUCAUA